CCAACACAAAAGCUCAGCUCUGGUAUAAAAAUGAGGAAUUGAAAGUGAGUACAGAUGAUAUUUCUAGAUUGUCAAGUUUUACAAAAUGUGUAAAAGAAAACAAGCAGUAUCAAGACCUGAAGGAAAACUACAGGUUGCAGAAGAAAAUGGCUGGUGGAAAUGCAGCAGGAAGAAUAACAUGGUUCUGAAACCAGCAUCCUUUCCUACUUGGAGCGUAGGGCUGAAACCGUGAGGCGAUUUCUCUACUUUGCUGGCUGUGUUUCCUGAGCAAGUGACAAGAUGGAGCUGAUUAAAAGAAGACAAGGGAAGUCUCAGUGCCAGACCACUUCAGAAAUGAAGCAUUCCAGAAAGUUGUCAUGAACCAAAGACUACAAUUAAUCCAAUUCCAUGGACCUGAGUUCCAUAAAGAGGAAAACAAGAAAGAAAACCAACUCAGAUGCUCAUUCUUGAUGGCACCAUGUGGUUGGCCUGUGGUGGUGCUUGUCUGGACAAAACUGUGGACUGUCUCUCCAGGAGACAAUUGUACUCCCUGGGGUUUGACUCCCUCAAAUGAUUGCUCCGGGUGCUCAACACUCUGCUGAUUCACUCCUCCCUCAUUUUCCCAAGGGGGAAGCCAGUUGCCAUGUCAUGAAAACAUUCAAGCAGCUCUCUGGAGAAGUCCACUUGGCAAGGAACAGAGGUCUCCUGCCAAAAUCAGAAAGGAAUCGAGACUCCCUGCAAACAGUCAUGUGAAUGAGCCCUCUUGGAAGUGGGUUGUCCAGCCCCAGUCAAUCCUUCAGAUGAUGCAGAUCCAGCUAUAAAGACUCUGAGCCUCAACUAUCAGCUAAGCCACUCCAGGUGCCCGACCCACAGGAACUGUGAGAUGAUAAAUGUCUGAUAUUUCAAGCUGCUUAAUUUUGGGGGUAAUUUGUUAUACAGCAAUGGAUAACUAAUACAAGUCCUAAAACUAAAUGAAAGAGCUGUGCAGGAAUAAGAUACACAAAUUGGAGUUACAUUCUCGACCAGGAAUUGGUAAGGCUGGCUUAGUCUCUGCUCUGGUUCAGCUGGAGGAUAAUUGUCUAACUUGAGGAAAAGUUUGUCCUGUGAUAGUGACAGUCCCUAGUGAGGUGUUUUUGCCUCAUUUAUCCUUGUAUUGCUAGCUCCAUCACAUCACUUGACCUGAAAGAGGGCCUUGAUGAAUUCUGGUUGAAUGACUGACUGAAGAAAUAAUGAACACCUCUGUUUCUUCACUUAGAAAAAGGUGAAGGCUUAUUGUUGUUCCAUAACCUUCUUCCAAAUUUGAUCAAAUUAAGUUAGGGGAUAUAUAAUAAGAGGGGCUGGAGCAUUUUGAUCUAGAAGACAAGAAUGCUUGGAGAUGCCAUCGUCCUCAUGGAUGAUUUAUGGAAUGGUGGACUAUCAGGAUCUCACUCUUCAGUAACAGGGAACACAUUAAAUAUACUUUGGAAAAAUUAGCUAAUGAAAUAUCAUGUAGCCAUUUGAAACAAUGUUGCAGAACUAUAUUUUGUGACUUGAGAUGUUUAUAAUAUUUUGAUCAGAACAGAGUCUGCCACAUUAAGUAGGAUCUUACUAAAUAUUUGUUGAAUACGUAGAUGAAUGGAGGUUUAGAAGAGUAUAAGCUACUUUUCAUAUAAAAAUACUAAUAUAUUCAAAGAGAAAACCA